rnacentral:tRNA from 1 species
AUUUAUAUAGUAUAAUAAGUACAUUUUAUUUCCAAUAAUAUAGUUUAAAUUUUUUAAUAUAAAUA